CCUACGGGAGGCAGCAGUGGGGAAUUUUCCGCAAUGGGCGAAAGCCUGACGGAGCAAUACCGCGUGAGGGAGGAAGGUCUUUGGAUUGUAAACCUCUUUUCUCAGGGAAGAAUAUUGACGGUACCUGAG
rnacentral:rRNA from 1 species